rnacentral:rRNA from 1 species
AAACUUUCAACAACGGAUCUCUUGGUUCUGGCAUCGAUGAAGAACGCAGCGAAAUGCGAUAAGUAAUGUGAAUUGCAGAAUUCAGUGAAUCAUCGAAUCUUUGAACGCACAUUGCGCCCGUCAGUAUUCUGGCGGGCAUGCCUGUUCGAGCGUCAUUACGCCCCUCA